ACUACGCACAGAAACAGGAAGUUCGUGUGUCGGGACCCAUGUUGAACAAAUGACGUUCUCAUUUAAGACCUCAGACACAGAAUCUCGCAGCGGCCGCGACAGAGUGCCGUACGUCAGAGGAACGCUGACACGCUGUCACUGCGUUACGAGCAGUUUGAAAUCAUCGUCACAGACGCGUCCACAACAACACAUCCACCUGAAUGACCACAGAGUCUGGCCAGACGACAGACGUGCCUCUGUUCAUCAGUCUGACGUUGCUCGUCACACUCGUCGUGUUCUCAGUCGCUGCUCUGGUUUUCUACAGGAAGAGAAGUUCAAGAAACAAGAAAUGCACUAUUUAUGUGUCAGUCACCAGUGUUUUAACCUCAGAUAAAUGAGUAAAAAAUAAAUAAGUAAACUCCGA